GCGGCGGUAGUUCAAUUGGUAGAGCAUCAGCCUUCCAAGCUGACUGUUGCGGGUUCGAGUCCCGUCCGCCGCUCCA
rnacentral:tRNA from 13 species